UACGGAGGGGGCUAGCGUUGUUCGGAAUUACUGGGCGUAAAGCGCGCGUAGGCGGACCUGCAAGUCGGGGGUGAAAGCCCUCGGCUCAACCGAGGAAGUGCGUUCGAAACUACUGUUCUUGAGUGUCGGAGAGGGUGGCGGAAUUCCCGGUGUAGAAGUGAAAUUCGUAGAUAUCGGGAGGAACACCAGAGGCGAAGGCGGCCACCUGGACGAACACUGACGCUGAGGCGCGAAAGCGUGGGGAGCAAACAGG
rnacentral:rRNA from 1 species